rnacentral:pre_miRNA from 1 species
CUCGGGGAGGGGGAGUCCCUCAGCCUGGAUUGCGAAAGGACACAGGUCAGGCCAAGGGACCCCACUGGUGCACG